rnacentral:rRNA from 1 species
AACGAACGCUGGCGGCACGCCUCAUACAUGCAAGUCGAGCGCGAAACCACCUUCGGGUGAUGUAGAGCGGCGAACGGGUGAGUAACAGGUGGGUAAUCUGCCCUUUGGCGGGGGACAACAGCUGGAAACGGCUGCUAAUACCGCAUGUGGUUGUAUGUUUAUGACGUACAAAGAAAGGCGCCUCAAAGCGCCACCAAAGGAUGAGCCCGCCCCCCAUUAGCUAGUUGGUGAGAUAACAGCCCACCAAGGCAUCGAUGGGUAGCCGAGCUGAGAGGUUGAUCAGCCACACUGGGACUGAGACACGGCCCAGACUCCUACGGGAGGCAGCAGUGGGGAAUAUUGGACAAUGGGCGAAAGCCUGAUCCAGCCAUGCCGCGUGAGUGAUGAAGGCCUUAGGGUUAAAGCUCUUUCAGUAGGGAAGAUAAUGACGGUACCUACAGAAGAAGCCCCGGUAACUUCGUGCCAGCAGCCGCGGUAAUACGU